ACAUCCACAUUUGCCGUGCCUUCAGGUUGGACAAGAACAAAAACACACUUAUCUGCCCUUGGAGGUGUGCAAUGUUGUGGGUGGACAGCGCUGUAUCAAAAAGCUAACAGACUUACAGACAUCGACCAUGAUCAAGGCCACAGCGAGGUCAGCUCCAGACAGAGAGAAA